CCUUGCCUCUAGACAGCAACACAUCCAGACCUGAACUGUGCAUCCAUAGGCCUUCCAGAAGCCGUGAUUGACCAGUCUGCCUUCCUGAAAAUGCUUUCCUGUAACAUCUUACCCAGCAGUCCUAUGGUUCUCCUAAAGAGAGGUCUUCCUUUCUGCAAAGAAAUCUUAUGAUUAUGAUGCCUUGCCGCAGCUCAAUAGGCUAAUGCUCCGCCUGCAGCGCCGGCACACCGGGUUCUUGUCCCGGUCGGGGCGCCGGAUUCUGUCCUGGUUGCUCUUCUUCCAGUCCAGCUCUCUGCUGUAUGCCAGGAGGGCAGUGGAGGAUGGCCCAAGUCCUUGGGCCCUGCACUCGAAUGGGAGACCAGGAGAGGCACCUGGCUCCUGGCUUCGGAUCAGCGUAGUGCACCGGCUGCAACAACCAUUAGGGGGUGAACCAACGGAAAAGGAAGACCUUUCUCUCUGUCUCUCUCUCUCACUGUCCACUCUGCCUGUCAAAAUAAAUAAAUAAAUAAAUAAAAGAUAAAAAAAUAAAAA